UGCCUGAAGGCACUACUGCCUCAAGGAUGAGUUUGGCCCUUUAUUAAGCUAUGUGCCGUCUUGAUUCAUGAGGGCAUAAGGCACACUUUGUUAGUAAUGGAGCUGCUCAAACUAUCUGUUGCAUAAUUUUUGGUGAAUGUGGUCCUAUACAAAAGUUGUGCACACCGGUUAUGACUUCUGCCAACUUAUUUGUUCAAAGUAACUGAAUAAAUAAGCUGUAAAGUAGCUGGUAGUGAUUGUUCAGAAAUAUCUAAUCAAGUUUUGUGGGGUCAGCUAAGCUACAUUGGUACUCAUGUUCUUUCUGAUUGGAUGACUUGACUUGACCUUCUUAUACUAGGAUUGUGUGUGCUUAAAAGGCAUGCAGUCUGUGUCAGACCAUACCUUCAAACCUGGUGCCUUGGCCUGACCAAUGUGGCUGCUCAUUCCAGCCUGCCUCGCUGUGAUUGAUCACCCAGGCUGAUCCAGGCUUGUCUGAAGUCCCAUCAUGGCCUAUUACUUCAUCCACUCCCUCUCAGCAGACUCUCCAUUUCCCCUAUAUAAGCCCCUGCGCAGAAACAGGAAGUAUCCAGGUAACAGGGCUCAGCUUGACCUGAGACUGCUUUACUGCUCCCUAUGGCUAGUUCCUUGACUCGGCUUCCUGUUUGAUCUCCCAGCUUGCUUCUCGACUCCAAUGUCUACUGGAUUUCCCAGCUUCUUGACUCAGCUUGUUCGUAGAUCCAGCUCUUGGACUGACCUCUUGGCUUCUUGGUUGGGUUUGUUCUCAGAUUCUGUUCACUCAUCCUGACCCUAGUCGGUGCCUUGAUUCCCCAAGUUGGCUGCCCAAGUCCUGGUGUGACAGUUUGCUUGGCCCACCCCAGUUAGUGAAGAAGGCUCAGCAUGGCACCCAGUCCUGUGCCAGUGCCCUCAGACCUGUCCUCUUCGGACACCACAGCUCAGGGUGACGCACAGACAGGGCAGGACCAGUUGAACUGACUUUCCUCUGCCCAGUAAGUCCUGAAAGUCUGAGUGCAGCAGCAGCUGCUGGCUAAGAGCAGUCCCUCCAGUCCAGGGGGCAUCCUGCUAAGAGACCAGUGCUGGUGUGAGAAGGCAUAUAGUGGCUGUGGGAAGAGAUUGCUGCACUUCAGGCCUUUUCUGUUGAGUCCUGUACCCCUCUUCUACUACCUGAAAAGUAUGAUGGGGAUUGGUGGUGCUUCAGGGGAUUUCUUAUCCAAUGCAACCUUUUUGUUCCUAGCCCAGCCUGGAAUAGUCCAGAGAUCAAGUGACAGUGAGCAUCCUCAUAAGCAUCCUGAUGGAGAAUGCCUUGAAUUGGGCCUCCCCACUGGUGAAGCACAAUACCUUUGUCCUCCAGGACUGGGAGACCUUCCUUUUGAGACUCCUUCUUCAUGUUUGUUGAUCCCUGCUGGGCCUGCACAGCAGAAUGCACAUUAAGGAACCUUUGCCAGGGGCAGGGUACUGCCCUUUGCUGCUGCUAUGCAGCCAUGACAACUGAUGGAAGAAGGUGACUAACACCCACAGCUUGACUGAUUCCAGUAGAGCCUGCAGGAAGAGGUAGAAGAUGAACUGACACAAGUGGAGCCUCCCUCAGGGUUUGAUGUCUUUGUAGACCCAUCAGUUUGAAUUGAUUGUCAUCUUCAGGAAUGGAAGGAGGGAAAAAAUACAUUCCCUUACCACACUUGUGGGGCUCCAGGACGCAGACUUGCCAGCUGCCCCAAGAGAGGGGAUGAGGAAAAUGAGCCACCACGUGCCUGGUAAGCGGGGCUGGCUUGUGGUAACUACAGAUUCCCCUCACUCCCUCCGCAGUGGAAACCCACAGAAACCUGACCCUCAGAGCCUUCAGUCACAGCCAUUUAUCCAUCUCCAGGUCCUGGGUCAAAUCUCGCUUCCAGUUCUGCCCGCUGCCCCAGAAUCCAGUAAGGCAGUUACUUUAAUCAACAAGGCUUGUUGACCGAGGCCUUUUAAAAUCCAAUUACAGUGGUGGUCCAAGCUAGGGACCAUUGAGACCAUAGACAGCUCCCUUCUGUCUGGCCCUGUGGAGUGGGAGGCCACCGCUCUGGAGGUGAAUGCCCAUGGGCACUGCAAAACCUUGUGUUGGGAAAGUCUAUUUCAUUCAUUACCCCUUGAUUCUGGGAUUUCCCUGCCUCGCCUGCCAUGACCCCCAGGUCAGGUAGAAAGCCCAGAAAGCUCACUCUUGUUCCAGCUGCUGUUGCAGCAUUGCUGGACACCUGGGAUGUUUGCCUGACCUACGAUUCAAGCAGGGGUAUUGACCACUGCCAACCCCUGUGGGGCUCAGCCUUUUGAGACCAUAUCCAGCCUGCCCCCCAAAAUACCAGGAUUAUGCUGACAUAUUUGAGAGAGAGAAUGCAGUUCUUCCCUUCCCCUCCCUCACCAGAAUUACAGUUUCCCCAUCAACCUACUGCCUGGGGCCAAGAACCUGGCGGGGUGCAUCUGUGCCAUGUCAGAGCCCUAACUUGCUACCCUCUGAGCAAGCUAGCAGGAAAACCUGUCCUGGAGGUUCAUAAGGAAGUCUGUCUCUCCAGUUGGGACUCCUGUCCUAGUCAUCAAAAAACAGGAAAGGGGGUUUGCCUUUGUGUGAACUAUUGGACCCUGAACCAAGUCACCAUCUGCAGUCAGUAUCCCCUACCUCUUGUCUCAGAAUUGCUCCAUUGAUUUAAAACCACCUGCAUAUUCAUCAAACUUGACUUUCAGGGAGCAUGUAACCCGAUGUGAAUCAGGGCCAGUGAUGAAUGGAAAAUUGUCUUCUGACUUCAAUACAGGCACUUUGAGUUAGUUAGUUGUGCCCUUUGGGCUCAUCAAUGCCUCAUCUACUUUCCAGUGCUUCAUUUAACCAUGUGCUGUGGGACCUCUUGGACUAAUUUGUCAUCACUAACCUGGACAACAUUCUAACUUUCUCAGAAGAUGCUGACCAACACCCAUCACAUGUCCAGGAAGUGCUGAAGGGGCUGUGCCACCAUGGCCUUUUUGCAGAGUUGGAGAAGUUUGCCUUCAACCAAACCUUCACCAAGUUCUUUGGCUUUAUUUUAUCCCCAAGGGCUUAAAAAUGGACCCACAGAAAGUUCAGGCCACCCAAGGGUGGGAAGCAUUCUGGAAGGUCAAGGAACUUCAGAGAUUCUUGGGGUUUUCCAACUUCUACCAGCAGUUCAUCACCAACUUUGUCAGAUGAUGGCCUCUCUCAUCACACUGCUACAUAAAAAUACCUAGUUUCAGUGGUCUCUGGAAUCUCAACAGGGCUUCAAGUACGAGAAGCAGGCAUUUACAUCCACCCUGUGUUAGUCCUUUGAGAUCCAGCCUUGCCCUUUGCGAUGGAAACAUGCCCCCAGUACUG